AAACUUUCAACAACGGAUCUCUUGGUUCUGGCAUCGAUGAAGAACGCAGCGAAAUGCGAUAAGUAAUGUGAAUUGCAGAAUUCAGUGAAUCAUCGAAUCUUUGAACGCACAUUGCGCCCUCUGGUAUUCC
rnacentral:rRNA from 2 species